UACGUAGGGCGCAAGCGUUGUCCGGAAUUAUUGGGCGUAAAGAGCUCGUAGGCGGCUUGUCACGUCGGUUGUGAAAGCCCGGGGCUUAACCCCGGGUCUGCAGUCGAUACGGGCAGGCUAGAGUGUGGUAGGGGAGAUCGGAAUUCCUGGUGUAGCGGUGAAAUGCGCAGAUAUCAGGAGGAACACCGGUGGCGAAGGCGGGACUCUGGGCCGAUACUGACGCUGAGGAGCGAAAGCGUGGGGAGCGAACAGG
rnacentral:rRNA from 1 species